ensembl:lncRNA
CGCCCCCUAUUGGUCAGAAGACUGGCUGAUGUCACAAUACAGGGUGAGACCAAGCGUGCCGCACAAGCCCUGAAAAGUGAAGCCAAAACGUCUCGAUCGCCCCCUGGUGAGUGGUCCCAGUUUAGGUCAUAAACCCCGCCCUCCCCAUGUUAUUCAAUGGGACGCGAGACCAACUAAAUAAUUAAAUUACCCUUCAAAUAUAUUUUUCUGUCAUUUACUGUAGUUUGUAUCACGCUAAUGUAAAUUCAAGAGUUUGUUUUUAAAAUAAGUUGGUUUUUAGUAAGUUAUUUAAUGCUCUAAAAACGGUGGUGUGACGUCGUGAUUCACAGCUGUGAUUGACAGCUAUCUGAGCCGAGGAGCCACUGAAUCUUCGGAGGACUGAGGAGAUUGGAACUUUACAUUUAAUCUCUAAAUUUCUAUAAUUUCACACGGACAUAAUGGGUUGUUCUGCAGUACAUUGUGCUAACCGAUCUGGCAUUUCCAAUCGAUCUUUGAAUUUUUUUCGGUAAGUUAAAUUUAUAAGCUAUUUAAUUAGUAAAUAAAUGUAAUGGGCUAGCUAACGUUAGCUAAAAGACAACAAGCCACGUUAAUAGCCAUGUUAAUAGCUAGCAGGUAAUCGUUAGCUAGAAGUUACCAAUUAUUUUUGUAUUAGGCCUAUUCUAAAUUAAGGUUAAACAUGAUGUAAGUUAGGUUUAUAACAUAUCGUCUAGGUUUAACAAGCAAAGGUUGUACUGUACUUGGACUUGCGAUUGAUUACGGUAUGCGCAUUCUGCGAGGGAGAGUGAGGGCAGGGCACAGGGGUGGGGCCGUUGAUUUUGCUUUUUACGGCUUUACUUCCUGCUCGCUACUGCGCAUAACUACUGCGCAGAACUGGUCCCAAGAUCGCUGUCUGCGCAGACGCAAGUCCAAGAUGUCAGCGCUGUAUCGGGACACUGGCGGCUUCAGUUUUCACCAAUGGGUACAGUCUAUGGUUGCUCUACAUCAUGAUCUAUUAAACACUUUGAUGGAGUCGCAUUGAUGGAUGGUGCACGGCGACAGAUGUUAAACCUACUGGUGGCUGAUAUGAUUGAAGUUCAUGGGUUACAAUUGAAUGUUCCCCUUGAUGCCAAUUAGACUUCUACAAAUAAUAUAUUAGGAAAUGUAGGUGUCCAUCUUGAAAGCAAAGUAGGAAAAGGGUCUUUACUUGACAGAGAAACGUGUUCAGUAGUUAAAAGCAAUUGAAUUGUUGUGGUCUCCUAUUGCAAUAAUUCAAUAUAAAGGAAGUUUCUGGAUGUUCUUAACAUAUUCUGCAAUUGCCCUGUAGUGCUGCGACCCCUGUGUUUCUCAGUUUAGUUUUUCUUUAUGGAUUUUACAGGAACACUACUAUGAUACACAGAGUGAAUUUGGCUACUUGGCCUGGAGGAUGAAAACCAUCCAACACAACCCAGAUGCUCCACUAGCACUACCUAUCAAGAUGGUCCAAAGAGCAAAAGGGAGUUUCUGCUAACUGACAAGCAACUGAUUAGCGAGGAAUGCUGGGAGGCAAUAUGCACAUUGAAGCAUUCAACUGAUAGAACAGCUGUCAAAGAGAAGAUGAGGGCAACCUUUCAAUACCGCCAGACACAGGUUCAAGCAC